UUUACAAUUUGAUCACGGAGUUGUACGCGUUGAUUAUUUGAGUUACGAUCACCUUUUGUCAUUUCUUCCUUCCUACUCUUGGCAUAAUUUGUUGAGUUUUGAAUGAAUGUGCUGUGUUCAAUGUUUACGUUUUUUUGUUGAAUCUAAUAAUAAUGUUUUUAUCUUACGAUGUGAUUGCGACUUUUGGAGUGUCAGCGUUGGUGUCAUUCUUCGUAUCGGUGGCAUUACUGCUAGCCGUGGCAUCGAAGCGGGGACUGCUGCGUGUAUCUACCAGCUCUGAGCCACUGGUCGUGCCCGUCAAGGAGAAGAUUGCACCAUCAGCGCCUGAACUAGCUCCGUUAGCUGGCUCUACGUAGAGAUAAAUAUUAUUUUAUUGAUUUUUGAAAGUAAAAUAUUAAUAAUGAAAUAUCAAUUAAGAUUCAGAGGUGACAAUAUGUACGCCCUAAGAAGAGGAGCCUAAGCCAUUUAUAAUAAAAUUAACGAUGUUUGAAGGUAUACAGUAGAGCAGAACUAGACGUUAUGAAUGUUGUAAUAACAUACUUAAAUUUACAUUUUCAUAUGUUUUAAUUUUAAUGAGUUGUUUAAAUGUAAAUUGAAAUACAUAAUUAGAAGAUAUUUAAACAUUCUUAAUGGAAUAUCAAGAUACAAAUGGCUAAAGUA